rnacentral:rRNA from 1 species
CUACGGGGCGCUGCAGUGAGGAAUUUUGCGCAAUGGGGGAAACCCUGACGCAGCAACGCCGCGUGAGUGAAGAAGGCCUUUGGGUCGUAAAGCUCUGUCAAUUGGGAAGAAGUUACGAUUGUUUAAUAGAUGGUCGUAUUGACGGUACCAAUGGAGGAAGCGCCGGCUAACUCCGUGCCAGCAGCCGCGGUAACACGGGGGGCGCAAGCGUUAUUCGGAAUUAUUGGGCGUAAAGGGCGCGUAGGCGGUCUUAUCAGUCAGAUGUGAAAGCCCGGGGCUCAACCCCGGACGUGCAUUUGAAACAGUAAGACUUGAGUACGGGAGAGGAAAGCGGAAUUCCUGGUGUAGAGGUGAAAUUCGUAGAUAUCAGGAGGAACACCGAUGGCGAAGGCAGCUUUCUGGACCGAUACUGACGCUGAGGCGCGAAGGCGUGGGUAGCGAACGGGAUUAGAUACCCCAGUAGUC